GUGCUCGCUUCGGCAGCACAUAUGACAAAUGGAACGAUACAGGAGAAUAAACAUCCCACUGCGCAAGGAUGAACACGCAAAUUCGUGAAGCGUUCUCAGAUUUU